rnacentral:rRNA from 1 species
GAUGAACGCUAGCUACAGGCUUAACACAUGCAAGUCGAGGGGCAGCAUGGCGGAUGCUUGCAUCUGCCGAUGGCGACCGGCGCACGGGUGAGUAACGCGUAUCCAACCUGCCCAUAACUAGGGGAUAACCGGUAGAAAUGCCGACUAAUACCCUAUGUGCUCCGCUGAGGACAUCCGACGUGGAGUAAAGAUUCAUCGGUUAUGGAUGGGGAUGCGUCUGAUUAGCUUGUUGGCGGGGUAACGCCCACCAAGGCAACGAUCAGUAGGGGUUCUGAGAGGAAGGUCCCCCACAUUGGAACUGAGACACGGUCCAA